CCUACGGGUUGCAGCAGUGGGGAAUAUUGCACAAUGGGCGCAAGCCUGAUGCAGCCAUGCCGCGUGUAUGAAGAAGGCCUUCGGGCUGUAAAGUACUUUCAGCGUGGAGGAAGGCGUUAAGGUUAAUAACCUUAGCGAUUGACGUUACUCGCAGAAGAAGCACCGGCUAACUCCGUGCCAGCAGCCGCGGUAAUACGGAGGGUGCAAGCGUUAAUCGGAAUUACUGGGCGUAAAGCGCACGCAGGCGGUCUGUUAAGUCAGAUGUGAAAUCCCCGGGCUCAACCUGGGAACUGCAUUUGAAACUGGCAGGCUAGAGUCUUGUAGAGGGGGGUAGAAUUCCAGGUGUAGCGGUGAAAUGCGUAGAGAUCUGGAGGAAUACCGGUGGCGGAGGCGGCCCCCUGGACAAAGACUGACGCUCAGGUGCGAAAGCGUGGGGAGCAAACAGGAUUAGAUACCCGCGUAGUC
rnacentral:rRNA from 1 species